rnacentral:lncRNA from 1 species
UGUUUUUACUCCAUGUUUUAUUACAUCCAUGGCUUGAAAAGGUUUUAUUUGAUAUCAGCAAACAUUGCAAAUCAUAGAAAAAACGGAAUUAUGCAGAAUUUCACAUGAAUCUUCCAAUCUCCACAAUAAUUUCAUUUACAAUAAAAUGAUAAUCAGAAAAACAAGUUACCUUUUACCUUUCAAUGGCUUAGCAAGUUUAUAAUGCUAUGAACAUUCACCACAAUAAAUGUGCUGAAUAAUAAUUAAAAAAAAAAUAAAACAGGCCCAAGAGACAUUAAAAUAUUACUUACAACAGCAUUAUUACAACAUACUUUCUUUAAAAUUCCAACAUGUAAUUUAUCACUUCAAAAGCUAUACAGCAUUUCCAUUAUAUUUGCAAACUUAACCUUAUACAUCUUUUAAAAUCUUGAAAAACUUUUUAAGCUGUCUAAAAGCACUUAACAAAAUUGAUAAAAUCUACAUAAUGGAAUAAUACUAUACAAUCCAGUAUAAAUUUUCAUCUUCAGAGAAUAUGACUGUAAACACUCAUUAUUAUACAACAUGCAUAGACUAUACUGACCUUCCUUCUUCUGAACUGUUACUGCAAUUGUGCUUCACGAUCAACAGAAAAAGCUCCACAAAUCCAGGGAGUGGCUGAAAGAUUGUAGGCAAUUAGGCCCCUGCAUUAGAUCAUCAGCAUCAGACUAGCUAAAAACUACCUCAAGUCAAUAAACAGGGAUUAAUUUUGUUUUAAAAGCUUGAAUCCUAGGUCAUUUGUCAAUAGACUUAACAAGGGGAAACUGAGAGGCUCUUACUUCUGGUGGGCGCCAUAUGUAGGGCCUUGGCUCAACUGAGGAGUCCAUGGCUGCUCUGGGCUUAUCUAGCAAUGGCCCAGUGAGCUGUAAUGCACUGUUUGGCUCAUAUUUGGUGUGCAAUUAUACCAACAGUAUAUCAGAUAUUUAGAAAGACAAAUAAAGGGCACAGUUUAAAUUUAAAGUGACAAUGAGUAUAUUUAAGUGGUAUAGGUAUGUUUAAGAGAACUUUUUAAAGGACAUUUUAAAAACUAGUUUGAACACCAUGGUAAAACUUUUAAAACCCAAUGACUUUCUGUAGAUUAGAGGCUUAUGUGACCAUUAAGGGAUCCUCUGUGUUGAAAACUUUUACAAAUAACUUAUCACGAAAUCAAUAUCUUUAUUGGUAUGAACUUAUUGAGACACAACACAGUGGUUGUGCUACAUAUACUACCUAUGGCUCCUGUGGACCAGAGCAUAUACUGUAAAUGUCCAUAACUGCUCAACUAUUAAGCACAACUGAGGCAUAGUCAUUUCCUUGGUUAAGAGAGCUAUAUUACAAAAUUGAUCACUGUGUUUCAGAAACAGUUAACACAAUAUUCAAGUAACGAGGUGUUUAAAUGGUUAAGUGGAAAAA